UUAGUCCUGCUUACUCCUGGGAUCCGUACUGGUUUGUCAUGGUUCUGUCCUGGUUUAAUCCUAAUUUAGUCCUAGUUAGUCCUGGUUGAGUCCUAUUAUGUCCUGGUUUAGUUUAAGUUAGUCUUGGUUUAGUCUGAGUUAGUUCUGGUUAAAUCCUAGUCAGUCUUCAUCAUUCUUAGUUAGUUCUGAUUUAGUCCUAGUUAGUCAGGGGUUUAGUCCUGGUUUAGUCUGAGUUAGGUUCUGGUUUUGUCUGGUGUAGUCAGGGGUUAGUCCUGGUCAUUUUCAGUUAGUGCUGCUUCAGUCAUGGUAAGUCCU